rnacentral:piRNA from 1 species
GGCAUGUGGUAAGUCGUCAGGAUAUAC